UCUACAUUUAUGUAGAUAGUGGCGGACGGGUGAGUAACGCGUGAGCAAUCUGCCCUAUACAGAGGAAUAGCCUCGGGAAACCGGGAUUAAACCGCAUGACGCUUUUGUACCGCAUGGUAUAGAAGUCAAAUUGAGUAAGAGGUAUAGGAUGAGCUCGCGUCUGAUUAGCUAGUUGGUAGGGUAAAGGCCUACCAAGGCGACGAUCAGUAGCCGGCCUGAGAGGGUGAACGGCCACACUGGAACUGAGACACGGUCCAGACUCCUACGGGAGGCAGCAGUGGGGAAUAUUGCACAAUGGAGGAAACUCUGAUGCAGCGACGCCGCGUGAGUGAAGAAGGUCUUCGGAUCGUAAAACUCUGUCCUUGGUGAAGAUAAUGACGGUAGCCAAGGAGGAAGCCCCGGCUAACUACGUGCCAGCAGCCGCGGUAAUACGUAGGGGGCUAGCGUUGUCCGGAUUUACUGGGCGUAAAGGGUGAGUAGGCGGUUGCAUAAGUCAGAUGUAAAAGGCUAAGGCUUAACCAUAGUAUGCAUUUGAAACUGUGUGACUUGAGUACAGGAGAGGUAAGCGGAAUUCCUAGUGUAGCGGUGAAAUGCGUAGAUAUUAGGAGGAA
rnacentral:rRNA from 1 species